CACAUCUCGCUGCAGGUUCUGUCGUCAUCUGAAUUUUACAUCUGGCAAGGUCAUCCUUGAAAGAGCAAUGUCCUUUUGGGCUGCCCCUUCUCAAGCUCGCUUUCCUGUUGUCUCUUAAGAAGAAAAAAGUCAAACCCUUGCCCUGCCCCUGGGCCACACGUGUGAUCAGCGAGUGUUGUUUCUGCCCCAAGCUCACCUUAUUUCUCCAGCCUCCAGAGACUUGAUGCUUCUGUUUGGCGUCUAUUUUUAGUGCCUCUGGGUGAAUGUCAUUGCCGCCGGAGGCUGACAUUUCAUACUCUGGGAACCUUGACCUGCUGCUUUUCCGGUUGUGAGCUGACCCUGCUUUUUUAUGCCCCAGAAGGAAAGAACAACGAUCAUUAACAAUCAGCAUCUUCUGGAAAAUCGGAAACGGAGCCUCCGUGAUCCGAGGCUGCCCUUAACCUCGGCUGUGCUGCCUGCAGUGGCCACCACAUGGCUCAUCUCCAGAAGGCUCCGCGGCUGCCAGGGUGACACGCUGGGGCCACCAGCCGUGUCAAAGCAGGGAAAGCGCAGUCGGUGCCGGGCUGGGAACCAUGGCCAGGGGUGGAGGAGGGUGAGGCGGAGUGAUAAAAACUCGGUGGAGAAAGCUGCUCUAACCAGGAGCCUCGCUGGAGCGGACAGAGGGUGGCAGCCCCUCCCCGGCAGCCCAAGACAAACAGGGCGGCAGGAAGUUCCCACGCUCCCAGGGCUGGCACCCAGAGCCUCUGCAGUCACCUGCUGGGGGCUGGAGCUGCCAGGAGGAGGAGGGCGGGGCCUCAGCCGCCCACAGGUGAGCCUGGAGCCCUGCGGCCAGGGGGUGGGGCCAGCUGGAGCACAUCUGCUGAGCUCCUACUAGGAGCCAAGCACCUUGCGAAUGCCGUCUCCCCGCGAGCCCUCACAAAAAUCCUACCAAACUAACAUUAAGCUUUGCAUUUCACAGAAUAGGAACCUGGGACCCGGAGAGGUGAAGUGAUAUCCUCGGGCCACCCAGCCCCGAAAGGGAAGAAUCAGGAUCUUGGACUCAGGCCCCUCUGGCUUCAAAGUCUGUGCUUUUUAGCCUUGUCGUGUAUCCACUCAGCAAACCUUUGCUGAAACCCUACCGCGUGCCAGGCUCUCAGCCUUGGCCCCAGGGCUGACCUUGUAUCCCGUAUCCCAGGGGGUAGGGCUGUCCCUUCCCUUUAGUGACAUCGAUCAAGGGGCAGACCUUCUCCUUCUUGUCACCCAGCACAGUGCCUGCAUGUAGCAGGUGCAUUGGAAGAGCCAGCCGAAUGACUGGGGCCAUGGCCAGGUCAGCAGCUGUCACUCCUGCCUGGGGGACAGAGGCUUCUGAGGCCCCCUGGGCCUUCAGGUCUCAGAGGACCCCUCACAGCUGCCUCCCAGGGACCACACUUCUGCUGGUCCCUCCUCCACCCCCAGACAGGGAACCACCCAUGCCAGUGUGGGAGCCACCUCGGAGUCCACGGUUAUGACAAGGCGAGGCCAGGAUGAGAGACACAUUUCAGGUGGGCAUUUGGGGCAGGUGGCAGCUGUUGGAGGCUGUCCUCCUCUCCAGGCCCCCAGCCAGGACACCAGUGUGACACUUAUGGCCCCUCUCACCUCUCGGAUUCUAGAACCUCGAGGUCAGGAACCACGACGUAGCCUACGCUCAGGAACGACCUGUCCUCCGAGGGCCGGCUUCCGCUUUCCUGCAGGUACGGGGAGUUAGGGCAAAGCCCUGCCCACUCACUUUUCCACUGCCCGCCUACCUCUGGACCCGCCCAUCUGUUUAUCAUCCUUCUAGCCAACACCUCCAUCACCUGCCCGAAGGUACGCAGCUAUUCCAGCAGGCUACCCGAUGAGCACGCAGGCGUCCAUCCUGCCAUCCGACCACCGUUCCACCUGUUCACCCACCAGCAUCCUCCAUCCAUCGUCCAUCAACCCAGGCAGCCUCCACCCGCCCACUGUGUGGUUCCUCUGUCUAUCCUUUGAUUUGUCUACACAGCCAUCCACUCCUUUGAAUCCCUAGUACCAGGCCCGAAGCCACCCGUGGGCGCGAAGCAAGGUCGGCUCAAAUGGCUUCUGGGUACUGUGGAAAAACCCAACCCGGUUCCACGCGAGCGUUUUUGGUCACUGGCUUCGCAGCUUCCCCUCUAGGCACACUGGCCCUUCCCCUCCUGGGAGGUCAAAGGGCGGCGGGGUGGGGAAGCCUGGGUUUUGGGUUGGCCGUUUAUUCGCUACGUGACCUUGGCCGUGGAACCAAACGGUCCGUGUUGCAUGAUGCGAAGAGUCACAGCAGAUGCCUGGACCGCGCACCUGCCACAGCGAAACACCCACGGUAAUUAACCCGUGUUAUCGCCAGAAUGAAUCAUCACUUACGUUGUCCAGGCUGCGUUGUCCAGUUGUGUCUGAUGGUCCCGGAAGGAAAGUUUGCUGUGGUUCCUGAAUGCCCAGUGGAUGAAAAAUCAUGUCUUUCUGCUGUUUUUCUGUCCCCCAGACCUUCCUUUUUCUAGCUGGCUGGGUCCCGUUUUCAACUGCGCAUGUCUUUUUUAUUUCAGUGGCACCGAUAACACCCUUUUCGAUAAAAGGAAAACAAAACUUCCAGCAGAGAUAAAGGAAGGUCCGAAUUCUUUGGCAGCUGUCCUGGGAAGGAGCGUUCCACGUUCCGUGCUGUUUUCCCACUGGAAUGGGACAAAGGGGCUCUGAAAUAUUUGUCCAGAUCAUUUCUCAUCAAUGGGGCAUUCCAACAGCCACAAGUGGUGUCGGCUUUUCGCCCUGAGCCCAGCCAGGAGGGAGCCACUGGUCUGGCUAAUCUGGGUGGGAGUCCUGGUCACUGGCUGAACUGGGGGGGCGGGAGCACUCGUGUUCCAUGGGGACAGUGUAUCUGACCGAGUCGGCUGCUGGCCGGCUGCUGGGGCUGAGCUGUGUCAGAGGCUGGACCUGUGCGCCAGACCCCUGAGCCCGUGUGGCUCUAGUCUGUCUCUUGCCUGGGAGAAGUGAUUAAUUAUGCCAUUUUUUAGAGGAGGAGACUGAGGGUCCGUGUGGAUGCGGGAGACUCACCCAAGGUCACACACAUUUCAGAUCUCUGUCUGACACCAAGCCUCCCGGCUCUGGCCACCACAGCCAGAAGCGCUGCCGUUCACCUGUCCUCCUGUCCCCAAGUGCCCUCGUGCUUCCUCCUGUGCCCAGACAUCCACGGUGUCUCCCCAAAGUGACGAGCUCUGAGCUGCGAGCUUCUCAGCUGAGACACAGCCCCGCACCUGUCUCUGUGGUCCAGGUUCUGUCUCCUCUCGGUCUGGUACCACCUCCUGGCACACCCUCUCUUCUAGGUCAUCCUGUCCCCAGGUGUCUCUGAAAACUCCUCCGACACCAGGCAUCACCUUCCCACUGCCCAGGGGCCUCGGAGCAGAGCACAGGUGCCUGGUGGGACAGAGAUAGGUCCGGGGUGGCAGCCAGGUCCAGAUGGCCCCCGAGGACCCUCACCUGUUGGUGUGCACUCCCUGAGGAGCCGGCUUCUUCACCUUGAACGGUGCUCACCUGGUAGCCAGAAGAUGCCCGGGAAUGAUGCACGGGACUCCCAAGACGGUGUCAUAAAUGGUGCUAUGUCUUCUGCCUCUCUCUUCAACUACUUGCUCUGGGGUCAGGUGUCCACUGCGUUGCAAGAAUGCUCAAGCAGCCCCGCGGAGAGGCCCAUGUGGCAGGGUCCCGAGGCCGCCACCAACGGCCCGGUGAAGGAGGGGUCUUGGAGGUGAGCCCUCCAGCCCCAGGCAAGCCUUCAGAUAACUGCAGCCCCAGCCGCCAGCUCGACCACCAUCCCCUAAAAGAUUCUGGCCCAGAACCACCCAGUCCAGCAGCUCCUGGAGGCUUCGCCCACAGAAACCGUGGGAGAUAAUAAGUAUUUGCUGUUUCCAGCCACGCGGUGUGGGGACAGUUUGUUACACAGCAAGAGAUAACGAAUCCACGAGGUUCGAAUUGUGCACUGUCUCUUAUGAGCCCUGGUUUCUUCCUUUACAAGACAGGCUCAUCAUUACUCCUCUGAGAACGGUGCUGAGAACUGAGCAGAAGGCGGCCUGCACUGUGCCCAGCAUCCCCGGGGCCACGGGGCAGCAGUUACUGUUGCUGCAGCCACGUUUGCCUGCAUGGAGCUCUGACCACCCC
rnacentral:lncRNA from 9 species